UAUUUUGUAUGUCAAGUCAUCGCUUAUUUUUAAUAUUUUUUUACGAAGAUUUUAUUUAUCAUACAUUAUAUAGUAGAUGUACCUGUAGUGUUUGUACAUAAAAUAUCUAUUUUGCGUUACAAUAAUUUCGUUGUUAACCGCUGUAGUAAGUUUUUAGACAGUGAACGUCAAAUCCGCGGCCAGCGACACUGAUAUCUGCUAGGUACUACACACAAAUGAUCGACACAAAGUUGUGACACGAAUUUUAACAUUAUAGUAACAUUAUCAAAGGUAUGUAUAAAAAACAACUAUCCGUUUUUAAAACCACUGCUCUAGAAUCAUUUUUUCUGUAUCGAUGGAAUUGUUUGAAACCAUUAUGAAUUCAGUCAUUCUGUGUUUA